rnacentral:rRNA from 1 species
ACGAACGCUGGCGGCGUGCUUAACACAUGCAAGUCGAACGGAAAGGCCCUGCUUUUGUGGGGUGCUCGAGUGGCGAACGGGUGAGUAACACGUGAGUAACCUGCCCUUGACUUUGGGAUAACUUCAGGAAACUGGGGCUAAUACCGGAUAGGAGCUCCUGCUGCAUGGUGGGGGUUGGAAAGUUUCGGCGGUUGGGGAUGGACUCGCGGCUUAUCAGCUUGUUGGAGGGGUAGUGGCUUACCAAGGCUUUGACGGGUAGCCGGCCUGAGAGGGUGACCGGCCACAUUGGGACUGAGAUACGGCCCAGACUCCUACGGGAGGCAGCAGUGGGGAAUAUUGCACAAUGGGCGGAAGCCUGAUGCAGCAACGCCGCGUGCGGGAUGACGGCCUUCGGGUUGUAAACCGCUUUCGCCUGUGACGAAGCGUGAGUGACGGUAAUGGGUAAAGAAGCACCGGCUAACUACGUG